rnacentral:rRNA from 1 species
CUUGAACGCUGGCGGCAGGCUUAACACAUGCAAGUCGAGCGGAGAUGAGGUGCUUGCACCUUAUCUUAGCGGCGGACGGGUGAGUAAUGCUUAGGAAUCUGCCUAUUAGUGGGGGACAACAUUCCGAAAGGAAUGCUAAUACCGCAUACGCCCUACGGGGGAAAGCAGGGGAUCUUCGGACCUUGCGCUAAUAGAUGAGCCUGAGUCGGAUUAGCUAGUUGGGGGGGUAAGGGCCUACCAAGGCGACGAUCUGUAGCGGGUCUGAGAGGAUGAUCCGCCACACUGGGACUGAGACACGGCCCAGACCCCUACGGGAGGCAGCAGUGGGGAAUAUUGGACAAUGGGCGGAAGCCUGAUCCAGCCAUGCCGCGUGUGUGAAGAAGGCCUUUUGGUUGUAAAGCACUUUAAGCGAGGAGGAGGCUACCUGGAUUAAUACUCUAGGAUAGUGGACGUUACUCGCAGAAUAAGCACCGGCUAACUCUGUGCCAGCAGCCGCGGUAAUAC